rnacentral:misc_RNA from 1 species
UUUGGGUUUGGACGUGAACCGGGCAGCGGCGUUGCGAGCGGAGGAAGUUGAUCGGAAAAUGGAUCUGGCGGCGGUGAAAGAGGCCAUCUUAGGAAAAUAGAGACGCAAGUGUAUUGUAGGCGCUUUGAGAUGGGAACUUAAACCCGUCGGAGUCGAGGAGGGUUUGGAUGUAAGGAUAGCAAAGGCUGAAUUUAGGAUUAUUAUGCAAUUUCAUAUUGAUGUAAUUGUAAUUGGG